GAUGAACGCUGGCGGCGUGCCUAAUACAUGCAAGUCGAGCGCACAGACGAGGAGCUUGCUCCUCUGACGUUAGCGGCGGACGGGUGAGUAACACGUAGAUAACCUACCUUUAAGACUGGGAUAACUACGGGAAACCGGAGCUAAUACCGGAUAAUAUAUGGAAACGCAUGGUUUAAUAGUGAAAGGCGCUUUUGCUGCACCUUAAAGAGGAAUCCGCUUGUCUUUAGCUGUAUGGGAAGGUAACGGCUUACCAAGGCAAGGAUGCGUAGCCGACCUGAGAGGGUGAUCGGCCACACUGGAACGGAGACACGGUCCAGACUCCUACGGGAGGCGGCAGUGGGGAAUCUUGGGCAAUGGGCGAAAGCCUAACGGAGCAAGGCCGCGUGAGUGAUGAAGUUUUUCGGAUCGUAAGACUCUGUUAUUAGGGAGGAACAGUGGUGUAAGUAACAAUGCACAUCUUGACGGUACCUAAUCAGAAAGCCACGGCUAACUACGUG
rnacentral:rRNA from 1 species